AUCCUUUUUCUGAUCCAGACAAAAAAAAAAAAAAUCUGUUCUUAUCAGUUUAAUAUCUGAUACGUCCUCUAUAUGAGGACUACAUAUUAAAUUGAUUUUUAGGACAGGGAGACGGAGGUGGAGGGACCUUCU
ensembl:snRNA U2 U2 spliceosomal RNA